rnacentral:ncRNA from 1 species
AAAGAUCGAUACCGAGGGGGGCAUGAUGCCCCGGAGAAUUCCUGCUCUGGCAGGCAGUCCGUACCCAGUAAUGGCUGAAACUCCCUAUACCUCAACAAGUUGCCACUCCGGCGUGAAGGUAUCGUUCU